AAAGUACUCCCUCCGUCCGGAAAUACUUGUUGAAGAAAUGGAUAAAAAUGAAUGUAUUUAGAACUAAAAUAUAUCUAGAUACAUCCAUUCCCCGGACGAGUAUUUUCGGACGGAGGGAGUAACAC
rfam:Triticum aestivum genome assembly, contig: Triticum_aestivum_CS42_TGACv1_scaffold_577320_7BL